AUGGAGCAGGCGAGGACGACCAAGACGCAGAGGACGGAAGACGAGGAACACGAGGGUGGCGGGAUGCAGCGAGUCCCGGAGGAAUGCCUGGCGAUGGCCAUUGGCCUGACCUCACCGGCCGACGCUUGCCGCGCCGCCGCGGUGUCCGCGGCCUUUCGGUCAGCGGCGGACUCCGACGCCGUGUGGGAGCGGUUCCUGCCGCCCGACUGCGACGCCAUCCUGGAGCGGGCCGUCCACCUCGUAGACUCCUCCUCCAAGAAGGAGCUCUUCAUGGACCUCAGUGACGAACAUGUCCUCCUCGACGAUGGCAAAAGGAGUUUUGGGCUCCAGCGAUCGACUGGCGCCAAAUGCUACAUGCUAUCUGUGAGCGACAUGGGAAUCGCUUGGGGUCAUACAGAUCUUUACUGGAGAGAGUUGUCGGACCCAGAUGCACGGUCCAAGGUGGCAGAGCUCGUGUCAGUGUGCUGGCUGGGCUUGUCUGGCCGAAUCAGCAGUAAGGAGCUCUCACCAGGCACCCACUACGCAGGCUACCUCGUCUUCAAGCUCACACACGACGCCCACGGCCUGAGCGCCCCGCGCCAGGUUUCAUAUGUUGAGGUAGACGGCCAGGUGGUGGCGGGGAGCGUCCGCACGCCGUCUUUCCAUCCCUGCAACCGUGCCGCUGCUUCCUGCGGCGAGGCCGGAGAGCCGCACGAGCACGCGGAGGAGGACGGCGUAGGGGGCGUCAGGAGGUACCCAAGGCAACGGGACGACGGGUGGCUGGAGCUGGUGAUCGGCGAUUACCACACAGGCACAGGUGAUGAUGAUGUAGGAGCAGAUAUUAAGAUGGAACUGCAUGAGUGGGAGGAGCUCAAGUGGAAGAAGGGGCUCAUCAUCCAGGGAACCGAGUUCAGGCCUAAACAAGCUUAG
rnacentral:rRNA from 1 species